AUUUACUGAUCAGGCUCCAUGAUUAAGAGGGAAGGUCAGUCAGGUGAGUAGGAUGUAGGUGAGGCAGGCACUAGUCUAGCAGGAGAUGGCCAGAGAGCAGGCCAACAGUCAUCCUGGCCUGACCAUACAUAUAAGGAAACAACAACAGUUUGAAUAUAUUGUGUUAAAUAAAAUAUAUUAUUAAAAUUAAUUUUAGGGAGUUCCUGCUGCGGUGCAGCAGAAACGAACCCGACUAGUAGCCGUGAGGAUGCAAGUUUGAUCCCUGGCCUUGCUCAGUGGGUUAAGGAUCCAGUGUUGCUGUGAGCUGUGGUGGAGGUUGCAGACAUGGCUGGAUCUGGAGUUGCUGUGGCUGUGGUGUAGGCCAGCGGCUGUAGCUCCGAUUGGACCCCUAGCCUGGGAACCUCCAUAUGCUGCAGGUGUGCCCCCCCCCAAAAAAGCAAAAAAAUAAAAUUAAUUUCACUUGUUCCUUUUUACCUUUUUAAAUAUGGCUACUAGAAAAUGUACAAUUACACACAGGGCUCACAUUCUAUUUCUAUUGGACAGGGCUAAUUUAACGGAGAGAUUCCUAGACCUGCUGGUCAUCUGAACCAUCCUAGAAGCUUUUCCUAAAGAGAGAUCCCAGGUCUCCCUUCUCUGCUAAUCCUGAUUGAGUAGGUCCUUAUGGGGGUGUCCUGUACUUUUAUAAUGCCUUCCAGGUUAUUCAAUGGCUAUGAUCAUCCCAGUUUGAAACAACAAUGGGAUGUCUCAAAUCCCAUUGUCUCUCAUGAAAUCCCCUGGCCCAAAAUUAUCCUAGGCUCCCUUCUAUUGCAGGGAUGGCCAAUACUCAAUAUGUAUCAGAAUCACAUGGACAGAUUUAAAAAAUAAAAAUUAACUUUCCAUCUUCAUGAUUUAGAUUCAAUUGAUCUGGGCAUUUUUUUUUUAAGCUCCCAGAUGGGUCCUCAAAUGCAGCAAAUAAUGGAAACCAUUGGUCUACCCAGCACUUACCACAUACAGUGCAGUUUUCCAUGCACUUCUCUGUCUCCUGCCAUAGACUGUGAGCUCCCUGAAGGCAUCGUCUUUGUCACCAUAUCUCUUAGGCCUACAGUAGUGACCUCAGGAGUGGCUGAAUGAACCCUUUAUGCUUUGACACUUUGGCCAUGGCUUCUCUGUCCUGGCUGGGCUCCAGUUUCUACUCUGGCUUUGAUGCUGCCUAUUCUUUGGCUCCAUGUCCUUUUUCUGAGCAGCUGGCAUUCCCAGCUUCCUGCCUCCCUCCAGCAGUAAGGAGUGGGCCACGCUGACUCCACUCCCCAAUGCCUCCACUAUCCUCACUACCACCUUUUAUACUAAAGGUGGAAGAAGAAGAAAGAGUGGAUGAAUAAGUUACCCUCUGUCACCUCCUCUGGCUUGAGCCCAAGUCCCAUUACUCAGCACACUAGGACAGAGAGCAGCCUGUCCAGUGCCCAGAGCACUGGGCCAGGGGGCAGAAGAUCUGUGUGGUCAGCCUAGUGCUACCACUAACUGCCUUAGGAGUGUAACACUUCCUUUCUUUUUUUUUUUUUUUUUAAUAUAUUUUUUUAUUUUCCCACUUGGGAAAAAAAAAAAAAAAAAGGCAAGUGGACAAAAAGCUCCAAAGAACACCAAGGAAUGGGGAUAGUGGUUUUAGCGAUUAUUCAGACUUGGGUCCCUGGGCCGAUGCCUUCAGAGCCUUCUCAGGACAGGUCAGAUCCUAGGUCACUACAUGUCUGGCUAAUGAGGACAGGCCGGCAGUCUUUCAGGUCUACAUUCAAGAGACAACAACAGCGUGGAAGGCUUUGAACAUCAUGAGUGUGUGCUAAUAUACAAAACUCUGGUUACUGAAGACAUGUAAGCGAUCAAGCACACGGCUCUCAAAUCAGCAUCUUCUUUGUGCAGCUGCACAGCUGCGGUUCAGCGCCACUGCGCAGCUGGUGUGCAGAGUGUGUUUCCUCGAAGCCCUUCUCACCUGGCUCAGAGCUGCUCACCCUUUGAGGUCCAGCUCAAGAGCAUCCUCUGUCUCAACACAGUUCCCACCAUUGUGCUUCUGGGCUUAUUUCUGUCUGUUCUGUAUGAUAAUUGUUUAUCUCUCCGGGCUCUUUGUGAGCAGGGACUAUAUCCUGCAUGUUCCCACAGUUCCUUUAAUGACAUUACAAAUGCCUUGGGAACCCUUGAAAGCUUAGAGUCACCACACUGCUGCCUCUUCUACGUGCAUGCCACCCUGACUACGUAAAAGCCUGGAAUUCCUUCCUCUCCCAGGCUUCUCAGAAAACUCUCUUCUUCCCCAUCUCCACUGACCCUAUCCUUAUUUAUUUCAUCAUUAUCUCUUUCUAGAAACAAAUGAAUAAUCUUCAAACAUCUCCUGCACCAAUGCAUGAUUUUUCUCCUCUUAAAAAGUCUAGGAUUUUUACAAAGUGGACAAGUGGUACCUAGGAUUGAUCCCCAAGGUAAACACCCAGGGCUCCACCUCCCUCCAAAGUUAUGCUUCAUAUCCUUUUUUCUCAAACCAGGAGAACAGCUCUCCCCAAAUCAGUCAUGAUGGAAACAGUGUUCUUCCUUUUUUGGCUUGUUAAUUUAUCCUUCCUAAUUGAACAAGACUGGAGAAUACCUCGGAACCCCUUGACUUUGACCCCGAGUAGGAACACAGACAACUGAGCUGCCUCAAGACUUCUAAAACAGAAUACAUCCAUAGUUGAAAAGACUCCCACAUACCUGAUAUUUCCACACCCCGAAGCCCUUUUGGGCACAUUGACCUCCAUCACAAACGAUAGAUAUUACGGUUCUCAUUUUACAAACACCACCACAGAGGCCAGAGCACUAGGGUGGCUUGUGUAGGAUCUUACAGAUGGUUAAUGGCAGAGAUCAGGAAAAAAAAAAUCAUGAAUUCCUGAGUUUAGGUAAGGCACACAUCUGAGAAAGCCUUUACUCCAUUACUCUGGAUGCGUGCCGAUUUUAAACUUUUAAGUCAUCACAUAUCUAUAUAUUUUCAACCUCUGUCUAUAGGCAGAAUGCGUUCGAGAGAUUUAUCGGACAGGCAAUCUAGAAAAGAUGACUGUUUUCAGAAGCUACUGCUCCCCAGUCCUCCGCAGGCAGAAAACCUUAAUUUGUCUUCCCAAAUUCACUCCACCUUCGAGAAUAGCUUUGUGGAUGGAAAAGCAAUAAAGACCAGACUCAGUCCAGCUGCAAAUGAUCAGCCUCUUCUCCCCAUCCUGGUAAUUUACAAGCGUCCCCCUAGGUCGGGCAGUUACUGACAGUGCCUAGUGAGCUUGGCUGAAUAACCUGGCCAGCUGGGGUGGGGGUGGGGGUGAAUGCUCUCCUACCCCAAUCCCCAUUUCUCAUUUAACUCUACUCAUUAGAGGAGGCUGUGGCACAAGCCAGGUUGACAUGUCAAUGAGUCACCAAGGAAAUGCAGAAAUUGACAGCUGAGGAAUCCCAGCCCCCAGCCUUCUCCACGACAGCAACCCUCAGAAAACAGGUUUCUCAACCUCCUCGCCAGGUCACUUAAAUGAGUAGUGACAUUUGAGUCCCUCAGAGUAAUUAAUUUCCUCUGUCUCCAAUAGCUCUUCAUACUUUUAAUGAAUUUUUACAAGUCUCAGAUCCUCCAGCCUUCCAGCUCCCUCUCCGGUCCCGUUGCUCCCCAAGGUCCCGUAACAAAUAGCUCCCACUCAUAUU
rnacentral:lncRNA from 1 species